AUCGAGGAGAAGUCUGACGGAGCACGCCGCGUGAGUGAUGAAGGUUUUCGGAUCGUAAAGCUCUGUUGCCAGGGAAGAACGUCCUCUAGAGUAACUGCUAGGGGAGUGACGGUACCUGAGAAGAAAGCCCCGGCUAACUACGUGCCAGCAGCCGCGGUAAUACGAA
rnacentral:rRNA from 1 species